rnacentral:rRNA from 1 species
CCUACGGGUGGCAGCAGUGAGGAAUAUUGGUCAAUGGGCGCGAGCCUGAACCAGCCAAGUAGCGUGAAGGAUGACUGCCCUACGGGUUGUAAACUUCUAUUAACAGGGACGAAAGAAAUGACGGUACCUGAAUAAGAAGCCCCGGCUAACUACGUGCCAGCAGCCGCGGUAAUACGUAGGGGGCAAGCGUUAUCCGGAAUUACUGGGUGUAAAGGGUGAGUAGGCGGCAUGGUAAGCCAGAUGUGAAAGCCUUGGGCUUAACCCGAGGAUUGCAUUUGGAACUAUCAAGCUAGAGUACAGGAGAGGAAAGCGGAAUUCCUAGUGUAGCGGUGAAAUGCGUAGAUAUUAGGAAGAACACCAGUGGCGAAGGCGGCUUUCUGGACUGAAACUGACGCUGAGGCACGAAAGCGUGGGGAGCGAACAGGAUUAGAUAACCGUGUAGUC